rnacentral:rRNA from 1 species
ACUAGUAGCUUUUUUAAACCCAUUCUUUAUAACUGAUUAUACUGUAGGGACGAAAGUCUCUGCUUUUAACUAGAUAGCAACUUUCAGCAGUGGAUGUCUAGGCUCGCACAUCGAUGAAGAACGCUGCGAACUGCGAUACGUAAUGCGAAUUGCAGGAUUC